UACUAUCAGAUCUUCAUUUAAACUCUCCGACAUUUUUCUGCUUGAUCGCCAAGAAAUGACAGCAGCAUUACAAACUGUGUUAAUUUUGUUAUCAUUUCAGGCCUGGUAAUGUCACUAAUCGGAUCUUUACUCACAAUGCUCGUGGUAAGUUAUCAUUUCCCAUUUCAGUCAUUCAACUUCGUCUACUAGUACUAAUUCGAAGACUUGACUAAACAUAAUGCUAACACCAAUAAUUUAUAUACAUAUGUGCAGACCUUGAUACUUCCUUGCCUUUGUUUUCUGAGCAUCCUAAGGGGCAAAGCAACCCGGUUACAAGUAUGAACAUUAGACAAAAAUUUCUAUGUCAUGUGAGAUAAUACGCAUACAAACACUUGAUGCUUACAGUUACUACUUUUUGCUGUAGGUUGCUCUUUGUGUUAUAAUCAUUGUGGCAGGGGUUGUAUCGUCAGCGAUUGGAUCUUAUUCGGCCAUUUUAAAAAUUGUUGAGAGUUUGAGCAGCUGAUGAUAAUAAUCACAUUUUGGGAAAUUUUGCAGCUGAUGAUAAUAAUCACAUUUUGGGAAAUUUUGUCAACAAUAUUGAGAAUGUUACAUUCUUCUGUAGAAUAGAUUGUGAGGGGGUAAAAGAAUCAUUUAUGUCGUCAGUUUUAAACUUUGAUUCAAUUUUGGAUUUUUUCAUCCCCAC
rnacentral:lncRNA from 1 species